AAAAAUCCGGCGCUCGGUACGUCGCUCGCUCGCUCGCUGCUCUUUCGCUCGCUCCGUCUCUGCUCCGGCGCAGCUUUCCUUCGCCCAUUAAUCUGCUGGGGCGGCCGAGAUCUGGGGAUCCCAUUUUCACUUCAUUCAGGUGGUAGACAGUGGUGAAAUUUCGCAUAGUGCUUGUGAUGGUGGUCCAGAAGAACUCCCAGUAGUUCUGGCCAGGCACUUUUGGACGAACGUGUAGGGAUGAGCUCAACUAUAGUUCCUGACCAGCAUCAUCAGUCCAGCAGCCGAUCCAGCCUCGGUUCUGAUGGGGCUGCAUCUCCUUAUGCAGGAUGUGAAGAUAGCCAUUUUCAUAGAGCAAAAGAGGAAUUGCAAUCAAUGGUCAAAAGCCUUUUGAGAGAAAUUGAUUUAGGUCAUGGUGAGUUUAAGGAAAUAGCGAGGUGUUCCACUCAUACUGUAUUGGUUGCUUGUGGCCUUGAGCACAGGAGGAGCGAGGUCUACACAAUCCCUCUGCCAUCCUUUUAUUCCCACAUAGACAAAAUGGCAACUGGACAGACAAGUCUGAUGAGUGGAGUUUGCUCAACAUGUUUUGAUGUUUUCGUCAGAGAUGUAACCCAAAACAUAAUGUACAUAAGACUACCACUGCGUUGGUUAAGUUUAGGUCUUUACGAAUUGAUAAACAUGGGCUGCCAUUUUUUGCACGUCCAUGGUUAAUUUUGAGGGGAUUUAGAUGAGAAGUAGGGGGGUUUUUGUCCAUACUGAUAACUGUUCGUGGUCCCAAGAGGAUCCAUUUUUCUGUGACUACAUUGAUGAUAUUUAUGUUUUGGUUGAA